GAUGAACGCUAGCUACAGGCUUAACACAUGCAAGUCGAGGGGUAACAAGAGAAAAGCUUGCUUUUCUUGUUGACGACCGGCGCACGGGUGAGUAACGCGUAUCCAACCUGCCUAUAACUAGGGAAUAACCUUGCGAAAGUAAGACUAAUACCCUAUGAUUUCCUUUGAUGACAUCAGAUUAGGAAUAAAGAUUUAUCGGUUAUAGAUGGGGAUGCGUCUGAUUAGCUUGUUGGCGGGGUAACGGCCCACCAAGGCAACGAUCAGUAGGGGUUCUGGGAGGAAGGUCCCCCACAUUGGAACUGAGACACGGUCCAAACUCCUACGGGAGGCAGCAGUGAGGAAUAUUGGUCAAUGGGCGGAAGCCUGAACCAGCCAAGUAGCGUGCAGGAUGACGGCCCUAUGGGUUGUAAACUGCUUUUAUACAGGAAUAAAGUUAGCCACGUGUGGUUACUUGUAGGUACUGUAUGAAUAAGGACCGGCUAAUUCCGUGCCAGCAGCCGCCGUAA
rnacentral:rRNA from 1 species